UACGUAGGCGGCAAGCGUUGUCCGGAUUUACUGGGCGUAAAGGGCGUGCAGGCGGUUUGUUAAGUGCAGGGUGAAAGCUCCCGGCUCAACUGGGAGAGGUCCUUGCAUACUGGCGAACUCGAGGGAGGCAGAGGAAAGUGGAAUUCCCGGUGUAGUGGUGAUAUGCGUAGAUAUCGGGAGGAACACCUGUGGCGAAGGCGGCUUUCUGGGCCUUACCUGACGCUGAGACGCGAAAGCGUGGGGAGCAAACAGG
rnacentral:rRNA from 1 species